UACGGAGGGUGCAAGCGUUAUCCGGAUUCACUGGGUUUAAAGGGUGCGUAGGCGGGUAAGUAAGUCCGUGGUGAAAUCUCUGAGCUUAACUCAAGAAACUGACCGUGGAUACUAUUGCCUUGAAUAUUGUGGAGGUGAGCGGAAUGAUGUCAUGUAGCGGAUGAAAUGCUUAGAUAUGACAUAGAACACCAAUUGCGAAGGCAGCUCACUACACAAUCAUUGACGCUGAGGCACGAAAGCGUGGGGAUCAAACAGG
rnacentral:rRNA from 1 species